rnacentral:rRNA from 1 species
GUGAACGCUAGCGGCGUGCCUAAUACAUGCAAGUCGAGCGAUCCUAUUUACUUAGGAUAGCGGCAAACGGGUGAAUAACACGUGGGAAUCUGCCCUUUAGUGAGGAAUAACCCGCCGAAAGGCGGAUUAAUACCGCAUACGCCCCGCUUCUGCGGGGUAAAGCCUUCGGGCGCUAAAGGAGGAGCCUGCGGCCUAUCAGCUAGUUGGUAAGGUAAUGGCUUACCAAGGCUAUGACGGGUAGCUGGUCUGAGAGGACGAUCAGCCACAAGGGAACUGAGACACGGUCCCUACUCCUACGGGAGGCAGCAGUAAGGAAUAUUCCGCAAUGGGCGAAAGCCUGACGGAGCAACGCCGCGUGUGGGACGAAGCUCGAAAGAGCGUAAACCACUUUUCUGAGGGAGCAAGUUCUGAGUUAACCUCAGGAAUAAGUACCGGCUAACUACGU